AUGUGCACCCGCCUUUUGCGCCCGCGCUUGUGCUGUCUUCAUGACGGGUGGGCCAGUGCUGCCCCGGUCCCGUUCAUCAGCUGUGGUGGCUCAUGUCUCGUAUACAGGGUAUUUCCUGGUUACCACGGUCAACCGCGGCUAGCGCGACGCUCCUCACGCGCUUCCCGCGUCCUGCGUCGUGGGGUGUUGCUGUGUCCUGCGUCACCUGCAGAGGGGUGGGUCGACACAUGUGCACCCAGAUUAUGCACACACAUUUGUACUAGCGCGAUGAUGGGUGGGCCGCCGCUGCUCUGGUCCCGCUCGUCGGCUGCUACUUCUGUGUGUGUCUGGUGCGCGUGUAUGCCUUUCCUGUGCGCGGUGUUGCGUCUCGUCUGCAUUUGCUGUUGGAGAGAGAGGAUGGACUGCAGCUGCCCGAUGCAUCGUGCAUGCCUCACCUCCAUGUGCAGUUGGAGAGAGAGAUGGACUUGCGCCUAUGACGCACUGGUUGACGCCGUCCGCGAGCCCGGGUGCACGGUGGCGCUCGCGGACCUCCACCGCUGCCUCGACGCUUUAGCGAGUCAUGCGACCGAGCCGAGGGCCUCGUCCAGGUGGCCGCCGCCGGACUCGGCCCCGCCGCCUCCCGCCACGACGAGCUGUUCCGCGCGCUCACGGACCUCCACCGCUGCCUCGACGCCUUCAGCGAGUCCCGCGACCGAGCCGAGGGCCUCGUCCAUGCGGCGGCCGCCGGCCUCGACCCCGCCGCCUCUCGCCAUGACAAGCUGUUCCGUGUCGUGCGCAUGGUCGAAAAGGAUCUCCGGGCCUCCGCAGCCGGCCGGGAGGAGAACAAGAUGGAAGAGAAGAAGAAUCGCCCUCCGACCAUGCCGCUGGCGGCCGAGGACAAAUAGCCCAAUCGAUCUACCUCGUCUCCUAUUCAGGUGA
rnacentral:rRNA from 1 species